rnacentral:rRNA from 1 species
UACAGAGGAUGCAAGCGUUGUCUGGAAUCACUGGGCGUAAAGGGCGCGUAGGUGGUGGCUUAAGCGUGCGGUGAAAGCUCGGGGCUCAACUCCGAGUCGGCCGUGCGAACUGGGCUCACUGGAGCAUAGUAGAGGCAGGUGGAAUUCCGGGUGUAGCGGUGGAAUGCGUAGAGAUCCGGAAGAACACCGGUGGCGAAGGCGGCCUGCUGGGCUAUGGCUGACACUGAGGCGCGACAGCGUGGGGAGCGAACAGG